GAUCGGAUCAAGCGCGAGAAGGGCGUUUGGUGGAUGCCUUGGCAGUAAGAGGCGAUGAAGGACGUGAUACUCUGCGAUAAGUCCUGGGGAGCUGAGAAUAAGCUUUGAUCCAGGAAUUUCCGAAUGGGGCAACCCACCUGAAAGUUCGUUAUAAUUGCCUUCGGGCAGCCUAUAACGAGCUUAAACAGGUACUUUUAACCUGAACACAUAGGGUUUUAAGAGCAAACCCGGGGAACUGAAACAUCUAAGUACCCGGAGGAAAGGACAUCAAUAGAGACUCCCCUAGUAGCGGCGAGCGAACGGGGACCAGCCGAGUCCUGAGAGUGAACAGAAUGGUCUGGAAUGGCCAACCACAGCGGGUGACAGUCCCGUAUGUGAAGCUCGAUGGAACGUAUUAAGUAGGGCGGGACACGUGAAAUCCUGUUCGAAGAUCGGAGGACCACCUCCGAAGGCUAAGUACUCCUUACUGACCGAUAGCGAACCAGUACCGUGAGGGAAAGGUGAAAAGCACCCCGACGAGGGGAGUGAAACAGUACCUGAAACCGAACGCCUACAAUCAGUCGGAGGCUCCUCGAGAGCUGACGGCGUACCUUUUGUAUAAUGGGUCAUCGACUUGGUCUAUCUAGCAAGCUUAAGCCGUUAGGUGUAGGCGCAGCGAAAGCGAGUCUUAAUAGGGCGUCGAGUUAGAUGGAUCAGACCCGAAACCGAGUGAUCUAGGCAUGACCAGGAUGAAGGUUAGGUAACACUAACUGGAGGUCCGAACCCACACCUGUUGAAAAAGGUCGGGAUGAGUUGUGCCUAGGGGUGAAAGGCCAAUCAAACUCGGAGAUAGCUGGUUCUCCGCGAAAUCUAUUUAGGUAGAGCGUCAUCCGAAUACCCCUGGGGGUAGAGCACUGGAUGGGUAAUGGGGCCCCACAGGCUUACUGAUCCUAACCAAACUCCGAAUACCAGGGAGUACUAGAUGGCAGACACACUGCGGGUGCUAACGCCCGUAGUGGAGAGGGAAACAACCCUGACCUCCGGCUAAGGCCCCCAAUUCAUGGCUAAGUGGGAAAGCAGGUGGGACGACCAAAACAACCAGGAGGUUGGCUUAGAAGCAGCCAUCCUUUAAAGAUAGCGUAACAGCUCACUGGUCUAAUCAAGUUGUCCUGCGGCGAAGAUGUAACGGGGCUCAAGCCAUGAGCCGAAGCCGAGGAUGCGCAUAGCGCAUGGUAGCGGAGCGUAGUGUGACAUUAGACUACGUCUUAUUCUGAUCUUUUGUAAUGCCUCCCAAGGCUUUCGAGUGUUCGCACUCAAGUAGCCGACAGGCGGUAGUGCAAAAAAGAGGUCAGAAUAGACGAAGUCUAUUCUGUGAAGCCGGGCUGUAAGGCAUCCGGUGGAGAGAUCACUAGCGAGAAUGAUGACAUGAGUAGCGACAAAGAGUGUGAGAGACACUCUCGCCGAAAGUCCAAGGGUUCCUGCUUAAAGCUAAUCUGAGCAGGGUAAGCCGGCCCCUAAGGCGAGGCCGAAAGGCGUAGUCGAUGGGAACCAGGUCAAUAUUCCUGGGCCAUGUGGUGGUGACGGAUCGCAAAGGUCGUUCUUCCUUAUCGGAUUGGAAGGGCUGCUGAGCGGUUCCUGGAAAUAGCCCCACUUUGAGACCGUACCCUAAACCGACACAGGUGGACUGGUAGAGAAUACCAAGGCGCUUGAGAGAACGAUGUUGAAGGAACUCGGCAAAAUACCUCCGUAAGUUCGCGAGAAGGAGGCCCAGUUUCAACGCAAGUUUUGGCUGGGGGCACAAACCAGGGGGUGGCGACUGUUUACUAAAAACACAGGGCUCUGCGAAGUCGCAAGACGACGUAUAGGGUCUGACGCCUGCCCGGUGCCUGAAGGUUAAAAGGAGGGGUGAGAGCUCUGAAUUGAAGCCCAGGUAAACGGCGGCCGUAACUAUAACGGUCCUAAGGUAGCGAAAUUCCUUGUCGGGUAAGUUCCGACCUGCACGAAUGGCGUAACGACUUCCCCGCUGUCUCCAACAUCGACUCAGCGAAAUUGAAUUGCCUGUCAAGAUGCAGGCUUCCCGCGGUUAGACGGAAAGACCCCGUGCACCUUUACUACAGCUUCACACUGGCAUCAGGCCAUGCAUGUGCAGGAUAGGUGGUAGGCUUCGAAGCAGACACGCCAGUGUCUGUGGAGCCUCCCUUGAGAUACCACCCUUGCAUUGCUUGAUGUCUAACCGCGAUCCCUUAUCGGGUUCCGGGACCCUGUGUGGCGGGUAGUUUGACUGGGGCGGUCGCCUCCUAAAGCGUAACGGAGGCGCGCGAAGGUUGGCUCAGAGCGGUCGGAAAUCGCUCGUUGAGUGCAAUGGCAGAAGCCAGCCUGACUGCAAGACUGACAAGUCGAGCAGAGUCGAAAGACGGCCAUAGUGAUCCGGUGGUCCCAAGUGGGAGGGCCAUCGCUCAACGGAUAAAAGGUACGCCGGGGAUAACAGGCUGAUACUGCCCAAGAGUCCAUAUCGACGGCAGUGUUUGGCACCUCGAUGUCGGCUCAUCUCAUCCUGGGGCUGGAGCAGGUCCCAAGGGUAUGGCUGUUCGCCAUUUAAAGAGGUACGUGAGCUGGGUUUAGAACGUCGUGAGACAGUUCGGUCCCUAUCUGCCGUGGGUGUAGGAUACUUGAGAGGAGUUGCCCCUAGUACGAGAGGACCGGGGUGAACGAUCCACUGGUGGACCAGUUGUCGUGCCAACGGCAGUGCUGGGUAGCUAUGAUCGGACAGGAUAACCGCUGAAGGCAUCUAAGCGGGAAGCCCCCCUCAAAACAAGGUAUCCCUGAGGGCCGUGGAAGACCACCACGUCGAUAGGCCGGAGGUGUAAGCGCAGCAAUGCGUUCAGCUGACCGGUACUAAUGGCCCGAUAGGCUUGAUCCGAUCCAG
rnacentral:rRNA from 1 species